GUUUAUAUAGUUUAAUUAAUAAAAUUUUAUAUUUUCAUUAUAAAGAUAAUAACUAAUUUUGUUUGUAAAUA
rnacentral:tRNA from 1 species